rnacentral:rRNA from 1 species
UACGUAGGGUGCAAGCGUUGUCCGGAAUUAUUGGGCGUAAAGAGCGUGUAGGCGGCCCGACAAGCCCGCUGUGAAAGUCCAGGGCUCAACCCUGGAAUGCCGGUGGAUACUGUCGGGCUAGAGUCCGGAAGGGGCGAGUGGAAUUCCUGGUGUAGCGGUGAAAUGCGCAGAUAUCAGGAGGAACACCAAUGGCGAAGGCAGCUCGCUGGGACGUGACUGACGCUGAGACGCGAAAGCGUGGGGAGCAAACAGG